rnacentral:rRNA from 1 species
GAUGAACGCUGGCGGCGUGCCUAAUACAUGCAAGUCGAGCGAACAGACGAGGAGCUUGCUCCUCUGACGUUAGCGGCGGACGGGUGAGUAACACGUGGAUAACCUACCUAUAAGACUGGGAUAACUUCGGGAAACCGGAGCUAAUACCGGAUAAUAUAUUGAACCGUAUGGUUCAAUAGUGAAAGACGGUUUUGCUGUCACUUAUAGAUGGAUCCGCGCCGCAUUAGCUAGUUGGUAAGGUAACGGCUUACCAAGGCAACGAUGCGUAGCCGACCUGAGAGGGUGAUCGGCCACACUGGAACUGAGACACGGUCCAGACUCCUACGGGAGGCAGCAGUAGGGAAUCUUCCGCAAUGGGCGAAAGCCUGACGGAGCAACGCCGCGUGAGUGAUGAAGGUCUUCGGAUCGUAAAACUCUGUUAUUAGGGAAGAACAAAUGUGUAAGCAACUAUGCACGUCUUGACGGUACCUAAUCAGAAAGCCACGGCUAACUACGUG